ACAACUCCUUUGCUCUCUGCUUGGGGCUGUGCCGGGGCUAGACUUCUCGCUUGAGGCUUAGGGAGGGGCGAGAUGGCGAGGGGCCGGACCGGGGUGGAGUGGUAGAACUUUGCGGCCGCUGGAGGUAAACCAGCCCAAAGCUCGUGUCACGGAAGGCAGAAGUUUUGGCCUGCUCUGUCCCUCGAGCUCUCUGGGUCGGACUGGGGCUGGGGAGAGGAUCGCUGGGAAGAGACACCCAGGAGUACCGCUUGCGUAGAUUCUUUGCUUUUCUCCCUGUGCUGCGGGUGGAUGUAGGCACCAGGUUUCUCCUCGGAAUUUUCCUUGCAAUCCCACGAGUUGGAGUUGGAUGUGUGUUUUAAAGACCAACUAGCGUUCCCUGUACUCCGGCUUGGACACCGACGACGAGGAUGUUGCUGAGGGAUUGACUUUGAGGACCGUUGUGUGCACAGGUGUCACACGGGGGGGGGGUCUGUGAUGUAAGAAAUACUGCAAAUGAGCUGUUCGGAAACACAGGUAUGCUUACGUGCAAGGUUUGAGAGUUGUAUCUGCUUGUUCGUGAGGUGUGGGAAUCAAGUACCAGAUUAAACAUGGCUCGUGGAUGUAACAUCUUUUCUUUCUUCUCCACCCCCACAAUCUUUACCUGCCUCCUCCCCUCCCAGCUUCGGUAAUUCUGUUUCUACUGACUCAAAAGAAAAGCAACAGGCUGGGGAGGCACUUGCUUACAUCUCAGUCAUGGUGGGCAACAGUUUUGAUGUUCUUUCUCUAAAGGUUUUGUCAAGAUAACAGAAGUCUGGUGGGUAACCAGUUACAUCUGCAAGAAUAGAAAAGAACUCAGAUGAAAUCUUCUAGCCCAAAAUCAGGUGUGCCGUUUAACUCAGCCUUAACGCACGCACGUCCAGUCCACAGUCUUGAAGCAGAAGAGAGGCUGGUGUUUGAAAUCUUCAAACUCCUGGGUGCUGCACGCAGAGUGCCCAGACACUUUGUGAAGGGUCGUGGUCUGAAUGAACGCCCUGAAGGUGUAUUGGUGAUUGGCUUGUCUAGGUGGCUAGCUCAGUGUCUGUUUUUACUUCUUUCUCUCAGGCUGCUUGGUCUUCAAGAAUUCUCCAGAAUCCCGAGAGCCUGCAGUGGCCAGUGGCUCCAGAAUCCGCAGCCGCCUGUCUACAUUGUGUGCUCUCCACUUUGAGAUGAAGGGAAAGGAGGACAGGGUGUGUGUCUGUGUGCGUGUGUGGUUGGGUGGGUGCACGCCUCUGGAAUCCAGCAACUUGAAGAUGUCUCCAGAUAGGUCAACAGGGCAAACCUGGCCUAACCGCUGGGGUGAGCGGAAGUUGGAGUCCUCUUGAUUUCCCUGGGAGAUACCUACUUCCAGCCCUUACUGAAAAUAUCCCCAAAUGGCUUGGAUGUUUUUCUAGGUUAUCUCUCGCAGUCCAGUCCGGAGUACACAAGGGGCGAACAGCACUUCUUCAAAAUCCGACUGCUAUCUGAGCAGGCCUGCAGGUGUUUGUCUUCUUCCUCAACAUCAGGCGCGUCCAGCUAGGGAUCAGCACCCUAAUCCCAGGUGGAGAAAGGGUGCCUCAUGUGUGUACAAGGCUGGGAAACAGAACUGCAGGCGCCGUGGGGAUCACCUCCCAGGCCGUGUCUGGCGGGCGAGGUUGUGUGGGCCACCGCGUUUCGCCCGGUUCAUUCUGACCAAGCGGGGCGUCUGCUUAGUGACCUCCGGCCUGCGCCCACCUCUUGCAGCUACGGUCCUGAGCCAGACG